rnacentral:siRNA from 1 species
AAGCGUUAUCUUUAGUGUGUC